rnacentral:rRNA from 1 species
AUGGCUUAACCAUAGAACUGCUUGGGAAACUGAUAAUCUAGAGUGAGGGAGAGGCAGAUGGAAUUGGUGGUGUAGGGGUAAAAUCCGUAGAGAUCACCAGGAAUACCCAUUGCGAAGGCGAUCUGCUGGAACUCAACUGACGCUAAUGCGUGAAAGCGUGGGGAGCAAACAGGAUUAGAUACCCUGGUAGUCCACGCCCUAAACGAUGUAUACUAGUUGUUGCUAAGCUAGUCUUGGCAGUAAUGCACCUAACGGAUUAAGUAUACCGCCUGGGGAGUACGGUCGCAAGAUUAAAACUCAAAGGAAUAGACGGGGACCCGCACAAGCGGUGGAGCAUGUGGUUUAAUUCGAAGAUACGCGAAGAACCUUACCCGGACUUGAUAUCUAACAAAUCAUCUAGAGAUAGAAGAGUGUCUGCUUGCAGAAAUGUUAAGACAGGUGCUGCACGGCUGUCGUCAGCUCGUGUCGUGAGAUGUUGGGUUAAGUCCCGCAACGAGCGCAACCCACGUCAUUAGUU